UNGAAAGGCCUUUCUUUAGCACCGGAAG
rnacentral:piRNA from 1 species